CUCUCCAGACUGUGGGGUUUGAGUGAGAGGUCUGACUGGUGUCUCCAAGUGGCCACACACCUCUCCAGACUGUGGGGUUUGGGUGAGAGGUCUGACUGGCGUCUCCAAGUGGCCACACACCUCUCCAGACUGUGGGGUUUGAGUGAGAGGUCUGACUGGUGUCUCCACGUGGCCACACACCUCUCCAGACUGUGGGGUUUGAGUGAGAGGUCUGACUGGUGUCUCCAAGUGGCCACACACCUCUCCAGACUGUGGGUUUGAGUGAGAGGUCUGACUGGCGUCUCCAAGUGGCCACACACCUCUCCAGACUGUGGGGUUUGGGUGAGAGGUCUGACUGGCGUCUCCAAGUGGCCACACACCUCUCCAGACUGUGGGGUUUGAGUGAGAGGUCUGACUGGCG